GACGAACGCUGGCGGCGUGCUUAACACAUGCAAGUCGAACGGAAAGGCCCUGCUUGCAGGGUACUCGAGUGGCGAACGGGUGAGUAACACGUGGGUGAUCUGCCCUGCACUUCGGGAUAAGCCUGGGAAACUGGGUCUAAUACCGGAUAGGAGCCAUUUUUAGUGUGAUGGUUGGAAAGUUUUUUCGGUGUAGGAUGAGCUCGCGGCCUAUCAGCUUGUUGGUGGGGUAAUGGCCUACCAAGGCGGCGACGGGUAGCCGGCCUGAGAGGGUGGACGGCCACAUUGGGACUGAGAUACGGCCCAGACUCCUACGGGAGGCAGCAGUGGGGAAUAUUGCACAAUGGGCGCAAGCCUGAUGCAGCGACGCCGCGUGGGGGAUGACGGCCUUCGGGUUGUAAACUCCUUUCGCUGGGGACGAAGCUUUUUGUGACGGUACCUAGAUAAGAAGCACCGGCUAACUACGU
rnacentral:rRNA from 1 species